UCCCUGGUGACUCAGUGGUAAAGAAUCUGCCUGCCAAUGCAGGAGACUUGGGUUUAAUCCCAGUCAGGGAG
rnacentral:tRNA from 1 species